rnacentral:lncRNA from 1 species
CUGAUGUCCUUCUCUCCUCCUCUUCCUCUUGGUCUCUCGGUAUCCCAGCAUCUUCCCAGCAGGACUGCUUGUUCUCUCUGGCAAGUCCUUCCUCCCUGGCUCCCUCCCUAAUCCUGAAGCAGCUGCCGGCUGGCCUCCAGGUUCUAAAGUCCCAUGCACACCAGCUCUUCCUUCCAGCCACUGCUGCCCACACACCCUGAGCUCCAAGCCAACGGGAGAGGCCAAGGGGGCAUCUGGAGGAGGACUGCUUGGUGUCUACUCCAGGACCAUAUCAAGCAUGUCAGAACAGAAAACGGAAUCCUCUGCAGGGCCAGACACGAGCUCAUGAGUCCUUGUGUGACCUUCUGGGAAAUCAGUGUUCAGACUGGCAGCUGUUUUGCUGGAGAAAGAUGACAGUGCUCUGUUCCCCGAAGCCCAUGUGCCUGGUAGGAAUUUACAAGGUCGGGGGCUGGUAGAAAUUUGAGUGACCCAUCCUCUUUCCCGGGAAGACAGAGGCCAGGAGCCCAAGACAGAGGGGCCCAAGCCCAGCCAGACACCCUGGCAGGAGGAGCGUCUCCAUCCCGAGGUCUUUUUCAGAGAAUAGGCCAGCAGUUGCUAGGCAGACAGAUAAACGUUUUCUUCCUCUUUUCCCCCCAAAACUGUGCUCACCGUGACACAGGUGGGAGAGGCAGCUGCAGAGCACAGGUGCGGUGUCUCCUCUACCCACGCCAUGGCAGACAUCCAGGGUUGACGCCAGCACAGGUCUGCUGAGCACCCUGCAAGAUGACAUCCACGUAGAGCUGGAGGGCUGGAGAAGAGCUUGCCACCCAGAUGGAUACAGACCAGCCCCAUAUUCUGGCCCCACCGCUUCAUUUGGGCAGUCUAUUUCCCUGAGCUUCGGUUCUCUCAUUUGUAAAGGGAGAUAAGCAAACA